AUUGAACGCUGGCGGCAGGCCUAACACAUGCAAGUCGAACGGUAGCACAGAGAGCUUGCUCUCGGGUGACGAGUGGCGGACGGGUGAGUAACGUCUGGGAAACUGCCCGAUGGAGGGGGAUAACUACUGGAAACGGUAGCUAAUACCGCAUAACGUCGCAAGACCAAAGUGGGGGACCUUCGGGCCUCACACCAUCGGAUGUGCCCAGAUGGGAUUAGCUAGUAGGUGGGGUAAUGGCUCACCUAGGCGACGAUCCCUAGCUGGUCUGAGAGGAUGACCAGCCACACUGGAACUGAGACACGGUCCAGACUCCUACGGGAGGCAGCAGUGGGGAAUAUUGCACAAUGGGCGCAAGCCUGAUGCAGCCAUGCCGCGUGUAUGAAGAAGGCCUUCGGGUUGUAAAGUACUUUCAGCGGGGAGGAAGGCGGUGAAGUUAACAGCUUCACCGAUUGACGUUACCCGCAGAAGAAGCACCGGCUAACUCCGUGCCAGCCGCCGCCGUAA
rnacentral:rRNA from 1 species